rnacentral:lncRNA from 1 species
CCUCCCUCUCGAAUUGAGAAAGAUUUUUGGGUGGCGAAUCGGGGGCGGCGGAGGCCGAGCAAGCGGCGGCGGCAACAAAGAAGGAGGGCGAUGACGCCCGGUUCAAGACCUACGACGAGGCGGCGCGGGCUCAGGGAUGUCAUCUUCGGCGCGGCAGCGGGAACUCCAGGGGGAGACGAGGAAGGACGACAACACUGGACCUCGGGCGAUCCCCCGACAGUUCUUGUGUCAGAACUUGA